rnacentral:rRNA from 1 species
CCCUUAGAUGUUCUGGGCCGCACGCGCGCUACACUGACAGAGCCAACGAGUUCUUCACCUUGGCCGGAAGGUCUGGGUAAUCUUGUUAAACUCUGUCGUGCUGGGGAUAGAGCAUUGCAAUUAUUGCUCUUCAACGAGGAAUGCCUAGUAAGCGCGUGUCAUCAGCACGCGUUGAUUACGUCCCUGCCCUUUGUACACACCGCCCGUCGCUACUACCGAUUGAAUGGCUCAGUGAGGCCUUCGGACUGGUUCAGGGAGGUUGGCAACGACCACCCCGAGCCGGAAAGUUCGUCAAACUCGGUCAUUUAGAGGAAGUAAAAGUCGUAACA